UGGCGGACGGGUGAGUAAUGUCUGGGAAACUGCCUGAUGGAGGGGGAUAACUACUGGAAACGGUAGCUAAUACCGCAUAACGUCGCAAGACCAAAGAGGGGGACCCUUCGGGCCUCUUGCCAUCGGAUGUGCCCAGAUGGGAUUAGCUAGUAGGUGGGGUAACGGCUCACCUAGGCGACGAUCCCUAGCUGGUCUGAGAGGAUGACCAGCCACACUGGAACUGAGACACGGUCCAG
rnacentral:rRNA from 1 species